rnacentral:rRNA from 1 species
AUUGAACGCUGGCGGCAGGCCUAACACAUGCAAGUCGAACGGUAACAGGAAGCAGCUUGCUGCUUUGCUGGCGAGUGGCGGACGGGUGAGUAAUGUCUGGGAAACUGCCCGAUGGAGGGGGAUAACUACUGGAAACGGUAGCUAAUACCGCAUAACGUCGCAAGACCAAAGAGGGGGACCUUAGGGCCUCUUGCCAUCGGAUGUGCCCAGAUGGGAUUAGCUAGUAGGUGGGGUAACGGCUCACCUAGGCGACGAUCCCUAGCUGGUCUGAGAGGAUGACCAGCCACACUGGAACUGAGACACGGUCCAGACUCCUACGGGAGGCAGCAGUGGGGAAUAUUGCACAAUGGGCGCAAGCCUGAUGCAGCCAUGCCGCGUGUAUGAAGAAGGCCUUCGGGUUGUAAAGUACUUUCAGCGGGGAGGAAGGGAGUAAAGUUAAUACCUUUGCUCAUUGACGUUACCCGCAGAAGAAGCACCGGCUAACUCCGUG